ACUCUAUUAUCAGUGAUGUCUGAGCAAAUAUUAAAUAAUCAAAACUUUCAACAACGGAUCUCUUGGUUCUGGCAUCAAUGAAGAACGCAGCGAAAUGCGAUAAGUGAUGUGAAUUGCAGAAUUUAGUGAAUCAUCGAAUCUUUGAACGCACAUUGCGCCCCUCGGUAUUCCGGGGGGCAUGCCUGUUCGAGCGUCAUUA
rnacentral:rRNA from 1 species